UGAAUACGAGAUGCUACGGCGUCGAAGCAGUCUAUGUCAUACUUCCAAGAAAAGCUUGCACUGUCAUAAACAAAUAAUGCCUGUACCAUAACCGACACAGGUGGGUAGGUAGAGUAUACUAAGGGGCGCGAGAUAACUCUCUCUAAGGAACUCGGCAAAAUGACUCCGUAACUUCGGGAGAAGGAGUGCCUUAUUUAUAAGGUUGCAAUAACAAGAUCCAAGCAACUGUUUACCAAAAACACAGGUCUCCGCUAAGUCGUAAGACGAUGUAUGGGGGCUGACGCCUGCCCAGUGCCAGAAGGUUAAAGAAGUUGGUUAGCAUCCGCGAAGCUGAUAACUGAAGCCCUGGUGAACGGCGGCCGUAACUAUAACGGUCCUAAGGUAGCGAAAUUCCUUGUCGGGUAAGUUCCGACCCGCACGAAAGGCGUAAUGAUUUGGAUACUGUCUCGGAGAGGGGCUCGGUGAAAUAGACUUGUCUGUGAAGAUGCGGACUACCUGCACCAGGACAGAAAGACCCUAUGAAGCUUUACUGUAACCUGAAAUUGAAAUUGGACUUUACCUGCGCAGUAUAGGUGGGAGGCGUUGAGAAUAUUCUUGCGGGAUUAUUGGAGCCAUCAGUGAGAUACCACUCUUGUAAUGUUAGAUUUCUAACUUUGUAUCAUUAUCUGGUCAAAGAACAGUUUCAGGCGGGCAGUUUGACUGGGGCGGUCGCCUCCUAAACGGUAACGGAGGCGCACAAAGGUUUCCUCUGAACGGGUAGAAAUCGUAUCUAGAGUGUAAAGGCAUAAGGAAGCUUGACUGUGAGACCUACAAGUCGAGCAGGGACGAAAGUCGGUCUUAGUGAUCUGACGGUGCUGAGUGGAAAGGCCGUCACUCAACGGAUAAAAGUUACUCUAGGAUAACAGGCUGAUCUCCCCCAAGAGUUCACAUCGACGGGGAGGUUUGGCACCUCGAUGUCGGCUCAUCGCAUCCUGGGGCGGUAGUACGUCCCAAGGGUUGGGCUGUUCGCCCAUGAAAGCGGUACGCGAGCUGGGUUCAGAACGUCGUGAGACAGUUCGGUCCAUAUCCGGUGUAGGCGUUAGAAUAUUGAGAGGAGCCUUCUUUAGUACGAGAGGACCGAGAAGGACAUACCUCUGGUGUACCAGUUAUCGUGCCAACGGUAAACGCUGGGUAGCUAUGUGUGGAGUGGAUAACCGCUGAAAGCAUCUAAGUGGGAAGCCCACCUCAAGAUAAGUAUUU
rnacentral:rRNA from 1 species